UACAGAGGGUGCGAGCGUUAAUCGGAAUGACUGGGCGUAAAGCGCGCGUGGGCGGUUAUACAAGUUGGGUGUGAAAUCCCUGGGCUUAACCUAGGAAUUGCCUUCGAAAACUCUUAAGCUAGAGUUCGGAAGAGGAGAGCGGAAUUCCCAGUGUAGAGGUGAAAUUCGUAGAUAUUGGGAAGAACACCAGUGGCGAAGGCGGCUCUCUGGUCCGGUACUGAC
rnacentral:rRNA from 1 species